rnacentral:misc_RNA from 1 species
GAUGAAGAACCAGCGAAAUGCGAUAAGUAAUGUGAAUUGCAGAAUUCAGUGAAUCAUCGAAUCUUUGAACGCAUCUUGCGCUCCUUGGUAUUCUGAGGAGCAUGCCUGUUUGAGUGUCAUUAAAUUCUCAACUACACUGACUUUGAAUUGGUGUGGCUUGGAUUUGGGGGGAAAAUUGUUGUGGGCUUUUUGUAUAGUCUGCUCCCCUGAAAUUGAUUAGCGGUACCUUUGUGGAACUGUCUACAGGUGUGAUAAUUAUCUACAUCUUAGACAUCUGCUGGAAUGCUGCUCUCUAAACCUUACUUGUAUUGACAAUCUUGACCUCAAAUCAGGUAGGACUACCCGCUGAACUUAAGCAUAUCAAUAAGCGGAGGA